AUUCCAAUUAAGAUGUAAUUGAAAGUUUCAGUCAACAGACAAUAGGUUAAAUAAGUACUUUAAUUUGUUGAGUAGUAUACAUGCGUAACAAUCAUCUAUAUAAUGAGGAUACCCCUGAUAAGAUAAAUAUUAUUCUAACAAUCUUCAUUAUGAGAUGACAGAGUAGAUUUGGAAUCGGUAUCAGAAAACCCGUGUUUUUCCAUUGCAAAAAGUGAUGGACAUUUUGGUUGAUACAGUUCGACUGCUUCCAGGAGACUGUCUGGGUAUCCAGGAGAAUAAUAUCUAAUGCCAAUAAAUGAAAUAAUUAAACUAAUGAAAAUCAAGUAAAAAUUAUAAAGUGCAUAAAUAAACAAAAGAAUAUCUUCGUAAGCAUGUUCCUAUUUUUCCAAUGCAAUCAGCUGUAACAACAUGGCGAUCGCACCGUACAUUAACUGUCUGAUUUAAAUUAAGACACACGAGAUUCAGAAACGGAGUCGCAGUUAUUUGUAUUUGCUGUUGGUGUGAACUACUUUAAGAAGACUGGACUUUUUCAUCGAAAUAAAAUUACUUUACCGAAUUCCUUCCAUAAAUAUGGUAUUAAAAGUCAUCGACCACUAAGAAAACAAAAGAAGGAUCAAUAUACUUUUAACAAAGCGAUUAGAAAAUUAAUCUCAAUCCGCCUAUCUCUUUUAUUAUAAAUUAUAAUUUUUUUACUCUAGAAACAAUUAGCAUUUAUAAUAAGCAGAAUUUUUGAAUUUUUAAAAUGUUUUUUGAAAUGGUUUACUCAAAAAACGUAGGUGUAGAUGAGUGAAAAAUAAAGUGAAAUAAUAAUUACCAAGCAGAGCUUUGAAUACAUCGAGUUUAAUGAACUAUUUGAAAUAAUUAUUAUAGAAAAAGGAAGAAAAGAUACAAAAGAAAAGCUGUGAAUUAUAAGAUAAUGCGAAAAGGUGGCAAGAAGGAGGCAUUUCAGAGUAUUACGAAGUUUUUCAGCCCAAGGCUUUGAUAAGAAGACAGCUGCCUUAAAGUUCAAACACAUAACAAUAAAGUGAUUAAAAGGGAGAUGAUAUCAUCAUAUAUUAAAGGCAAAUUGCACUGUCUUACACAGUAUUGUCGUCAGAUUCCUAGUAAAUAUGUCUGAUAACAGGAAAAUAAAAAUCUGCAUCUUAUAAAAAGUCAA